GCCCAGAUAGCUCAGUUGGUAGAGCAUUCCCCUGAAGAGGGAAGGGUCGUCAGUUCGAGCCUGACUCUGGGCA
rnacentral:tRNA from 1 species